UAGAGAUCCAAGUAGGAAGAACCAGUUUUGACAUGUUGACCCGACCCAGUGUUACUUGUUAGCUGAUCCGGUUUGAGCGCAGAACGAAUGGCCUCAGGUACACAGUAACACCGAGCCUGUACCUACAAUUUGUGUUGAAUUGUUUCUAAAGAAGAAGAGUGGUGGGCCCAUGGCUUUAGAGUUGUUAGACCUUAAAUGGUGAAGGUGAUGGUGGUGACUCUCUAGAAGCGUUGCUAGAUUUCGCAUUGGUGUUGA